rnacentral:rRNA from 1 species
AUUGAACGCUGGCGGCAUGCCUUACACAUGCAAGUCGAACGGCAGCACGGGAGCAAUCCUGGUGGCGAGUGGCGAACGGGUGAGUAAUAUAUCGGAACGUGCCCAGUCGUGGGGAUAACGUAGCGAAAGCUACGCUAAUACCGCAUACGAUCUAUGGAUGAAAGCGGGGGAUCGCAAGACCUCGCGCGAUUGGAGCGGCCGAUAUCAGAUUAGGUAGUUGGUGAGGUAAAGGCUCACCAAGCCGACGAUCUGUAGCUGGUCUGAGAGGACGACCAGCCACACUGGGACUGAGACACGGCCCAGACUCCUACGGGAGGCAGCAGUGGGGAAUUUUUGGGACAAUGGGCGCAAGCCUGAUCCAGCAAUGCCGCGUGCAGGAUGAAGGCCUUGGGUUGUAACGUAGCUUUGUUACGGUAACG